rnacentral:lncRNA from 1 species
GCUUAUUUUCUUAAUUCCAUAGCUACUUGCUCAUAAGAAAAGCCUACAGAAAUGAUCACCUGUGAGGAUAUUCCCACUGUAAUAACGUCCCCAUGAAGAUUGUGGUGUCCCUCAUCUUCCAGAGAGCCAGUUCAAGAUCUCUCAGUGUGAGCCCACUGCAUGGCCAGGGAAUAUAUUUUGCAGGAGUAAAGAGGCAUUCCUGGUGCUUAUCUGCCCUCUCUCCUCUUACCUCGGCAACUUCCAACAGUUACAAGAGAUUGUGAGGGUAGCAAAAUGAGUAUUCAAGAGGAGACGUUUUGCAGUUUCUGUGUGAAGUCUCGAGUGUGCCUGGUGUGGGGGCUACUGCAGCAAGACCAAACUCUGGUGAGUGUGAGGCUUGGGGAACGUGUUCUGCUUAGCGCGUAAUUUGCUGAAAGACAACUUGGGAUGGCAUCCUGGCAUUGAAGUUACCCGUGAUGUCACAUUUACAGGUAUGUACUUGUGUUUAGCUCAGGGAUCCUCAUGCUUGGCCCCUCUGACGUUUGGGGCUGAAUAAUUCCUCAUCGUGGGGGACUGGCCUGUGCACUGUGGGGUGUUUAGCAGCUGUGGCCUCCCUUCACUU